rnacentral:rRNA from 1 species
UUUGUAUAUAUAAUAAAAAAAAUACUCAGUUCCGUAGGUGAACCUGCGGAAGGAUCAUUA